rnacentral:lncRNA from 1 species
AUAUAUAUAUAUAUAUAUAUAUAUAUAUAUAUGUAUAUAUAUUAANNNNNNNNNNNNNNNNNNNNNNNNNNNNNNNNNNNNNNNNNNNNGAGAGAGUUUUACAGAAAAUGUAUAAUUAACGCAACACAUCACUUUAGAGUAACUAUAUAAAUAACUUCCACACUACAUAUCUAUCUAUCUAUAUCAUAUCAUACAUCAUACAUACUUAUAAAUAUAGCAUUUUUUCUUGAAUCUCAUGCAUUUGAAACCCCCUUUUUUAACUUCCUCAAACCACAUUCAUUUGGAACUCCCUUUUUUAACUAAUGCAACUCAAAAGUUUUCUUAGUUAUGAUUUAACACUCAAAAGUUUUAUAACUUAUAUUAUCUUUAAUUAGCAUUUAGUGAAAAGUUUACUAUAAAAGGCCAAUCUUUUGUGUAUUUUGUGUUAGCUUUUUGGUACUGUUUGUGGAUGACAUACUACUCAUAGGAAAUGACAUCCUAACCUUGUAGGAAGUGAACUCCUGGCUUGGGAAGUGUUUCGCUAUGAAAGACCUAAGAGAAGCUGCCUAUAUUCUAGGGAUAAGGAUUCUGAGAGACCGGAGUAACAGACUAAUUAGACUUAGUCAUAGUACCUACUUGCAUAAGGUAUUGAAGACGUUUAGCAUGCAGGAUUCCAACAAAGGAGAGUUACCAUCCAGAGUAUCGCUAGACUGAGUAAGACUCAAAGCCCAGGUACCAAGGAUGAGAUAGUAGAAAUGAGUCGAGUACCUUAUGCUUCUGCUGUAGGCUCGAUCAUGUAUGAUAUAACUUGUACUCGUCCUAUUGUAGCCUUUUCUUUGAGCAUGGUUAGCAGAUAUCAGGGGAAUCCUAGCUAGGAUCAUUGGACCACGGUAAAGAAUAUCCUCAUGUACCUGCGGAGGACUAAGGACUGGGUCCUUACCCUCAGUGGGAGUGAUGACUUGAGAGUUGUAGGGUAUAGUGAUGCUACCUUCCAAACUGAUAGGGUCAAUUUCUGCUCUCAGUCAGGCUGGGUCUUUACCUUAAACGGGGGAGCAAUGACUUUAAAAAGCUCCAAGCAGGAGACAGUGGUUGAUUCAACUUGCGAAUCAGAGUAUAUAGCGGCAAGCGAGGCAUCAAAGGAGGCUAUAUGGCUAAAGAACUUCAUUGGAUACCUUGGAGUUGUACCAUCUAUAACGGAGCCUAUGGAAAUUUUCUUUCAUAGUGAAAGUGCAGUUGCCUUAGCGAAAGAACCAAGGGAUCAUGGGAAAUCUAGAAACAUCAACAGAAAAUACCAUUUCAUCAGACAUCGAAUAGAAGAAGGCCUCCUCAUGGCAAAGAAGGUAUCAUCGGAUGAGAACCCGGCAGAUCCCCUCAUUUAGGGACUCGGUAGGGUUAAGCAUCUCUAGCAUGCGAGGCGCAUAGGGCUGAAGGAUGAUAUUAGUUUUAGUAGUUAGAUAUCUCUGAAAUUUGUAAAGUGUAAUUGACAUUUGAUGAUGAAUAAAAGUUGUGUUUAUUUAUGAGUAAAGUUUUGCUAUCUUUUGUCAAUCGGUUACUAUAUUUCUUUUGCAUGUUUUGACUUCCAGAAUAUUUAUGUUAUGUAUUACAUAUUAUUCAAAUUCCUCACAGCCGGUCAUAUGUUGGAAGUAGGUAUGAACAAAGACUUUCAUGAGUUGGUUGUAGAGGUCUAAGAUGUUAUACAUGGCUACAACACUCAUGAGUGCUCUUAAGUUCUGUUUAUUAGAUUCAAUCCACGCUCAUUGGUAUCACUUCAUGGAAUUUAUAUCGAGUGAUUGUGAGACGGUAAUAUCAUAUAAGUCUUCUAACCUAGACAUAUGAUUUGUUGCCUAUGAGUUGGUUAUACAUUGAUUGUGCGAAAACACUUUGAUAUUUCGAUGUUAUAAAAUGUACUUUUGUGUGUGAUUCAACAUGUAGUAGAGCAAGCAUAUAAAUUGAUGUUUAUCUUUGCCUUAUUGGGUUAGAAGUGAUAUCUGGGACCCUCGAUGAUUUUCUUUUGAACCAUGUAUCGGGACCAGUCAGAACUAAGUUGAUGUGUUCAAUUAAGUUCUUUGUCAAACAAAUCGGAGAUCGAGAAACAAACUGUCACACCCCAAAACCGAGAACGGCGGAAACGUUCUGGGGCGGAGGACGUCAUGUAAUGUAUCACAACAAUGCUAAGUAGUAAACAAGCAACAACAUCAUCCAUUGCAUUAAUAGUAUAAUUGUAAUUACAUUUGAGUUCUUUCAUAGUAUAAUUCUACAAAAAUGAAUAUUCAGAAAUAAAAGACGAGUCUUGAUCGCUCCGUCUUCACAAAACCUGGUAGUCGUACCUGUCUAUCCGUAUCCUGGGAAUACAAGUUAUUUUGAAAGCGAGUAUCAGCAAUAAUGCUGGUGAGUUCAUAAGUAUUUAUGUGACUUUGAUUUAUAAAGCUGUAAAGAAAGACCUGUAAAUGUUUUUGAAGGAAAGUUUGUACCAACGAACAUGUUUGUAAAUAAUUGUAAACAUUUGAAAACCCUAGAAAAUCCCAUAUUUUCUACUAGUAUAAGUUGUAGCCUUCUACCAAGACUCGACUAUUUUGAAUGUUUGUUUCAGAAAUCCAAUAUUUGUUUAUAAGUGGGUGGUAGUUUAAAAGUCCCAAAAAUGAACCACCGUGAAUGUUUUUCAUGUCAUAAAAUAGUAGAUUUGUGUACAGUUAUAAUCGCUAAGAUAUAUGAAAANUAAAUCAAACUUGUUUUUAUACUUUCAUGUGAGUUUUAUAACCAUGCUAUUGACACUGAUGGCCUGUAACAACGUUCUUCAGGCGUUGGAACUGUUAUGACAUUUGUCACCCCAGGCCUGCCGGCCUAGCUGUAGCUAACAGCUUAGGUGUGGGAUUGUCAAUCCCGUAUAGAUCUAUACACAAGUAUCACGCUCCCCCUACAAGGGAUUAUGGUAUAUAAUACAGGACUUAAUAAUGCAUACUCGAAAGUACGUGAAGCUGUCUCACAACCUAGUAUAAAACAGAUUUACGUAUGAAAAUGUCCAUUUGUUUUUAUAUGAAAAUACCUUCUUGAUAUGGUACUUGUAGUAUAUAAAACGUUAUGAAUAUCUAGUAUACUAUCUCAUGUAAUUGUAUUCCUUGAAAUGGUAUGUAUUGAAGUUGUAUGCUUUUGUAAUUGUAUGUCUUAAAAUUGUAUGCCUUUUAAUUGUAUAUGAUUGUAUCUCUUCGCACAGUAUAUAAUGUAUUUAUAUAGACUCUUGAAUAGACUGAAUCUUGUAUGAAUCCUGGUACUUCGAAUGGUAAAUAGUAUAUCUUAACUAUACCUAUUAUAGUUACUAGUAGUGUGUGUGUAUAAUCGAAAUAUACCUUUGCUACACAAAGGUACUGAACCAACUGAAUAGAAAACUUUUAUGUCUAUAUUUGUGUAUAUAUAUAUAUAUAUAUAUAUAUAUNNNNNNNNNNNNNAGGCGUGCAUUUGACAAAUAAAAUAUAAAAGAAGUUUUGUAUAAUCAUUGAGAAGUUUAAUAAAUAAUAAGAAGUGAUGAAUUGAUGUCAGUUAUAAAACGGUUUGAAAGUAGUUUGUUUGAUAAGAACAAUUUUAAGUAUAAGAAGACCUUUGUUUGAAAUACGAUUCUAACAGUGUUUGAAAGGAAACAUAAAGUAUGUAAGACAGUUUGAUAAAGAGUUUUUAACAUGUAAAAAUGUUUGUCGUAAACUAUUAUAGUUUUUCCAAAAGUUCGUUUCGUUUGUAUAGUAACCCUAGUGUAAUGCUCACUUGUUAUGAAAUGUGUAACUUUUUGUGGUGACAUAAAUGAGCACAUGUACUCAAGGUAUAAAUAAACAGUUUGAUUCGUGUACGUAUAACUACAUAUUCAAUUUUAACAGAUAAGACGAUAUCGUGUUAUAUUUUCCGUACGAAGGAUUCCAUAUAAUGGUUGUGAAUCACAUAUGAUUUACUUGAUAAAAAUGAGUAUUUAGUGAAAUCUUUGAGUUACACACGAUAAUAAUCGUGUGUUUACUUGUAUUCCCCNUUCCCCCCCCCCCCCUUAAAAGUGUAUAUAAAAAAAGUAUUGAUAACACAUUUAAAAAUGUAGAUUAUAGGGGUAUGAACUCACCGAAGAAGGCGCGUGAUUUGAAGAAAACGAGAUUUUCCUGGGCGGCACCUUGACCGGAAAGUGACGAGAUUUUCGGGAAUCUCGGGGCUUCGGACUUUCGUCGGGGCUUGGAUAUGAAACCGGGAAGUCGGGAUGUUAUCGGCACGAAAAACGAGGCGAAAAUGAGAGAGAAUUGAAGUAUUUUUGUGAAAAUAGUCGGCACCUUCGCAGCCUAUUUAUAGGAGCUAGAGGUCCUCGGUACGUAGGGCGUACUUCGGACUUACGCGGGGCGAUCCUCGUACGCGAGGCGUACUCCGAAGGUACGCGGGGCGUUCGUUUGCGUCACUGCUUACCGCAUCUUCGGGCGAAGAGUCUGGUCAACGUGGUUGAUCUGGAGCCUUGUAUCCGAGUACGCGGGGCGUACGAGGGUACGCAGGGUGUACUACUUCGGAUAAGACUUUGAAGUGCGUGCCAAGAACUUCUAAAAUGCAUAACUUUCGCAUACGAGCUCCGUUUUUGACAUUCUUUCUAUCCACGCGAAGGUGAGAAAAUAUUCAACAACUUUCGUUUAGACUUCAUCGGCUAAUUUUGACUUUAUUUUUAAUUAUAUUUUAAUUAAUAGGUCGGGACACGAUAUUCUCGUUAAAAAUUCAUAAUUUCUUCAUCCGACGUCCGUUUUCGUCAGACUUUUUAUUGUUAUGCUCCUAUUGUUGGGCUCUCCAACUUUUGUUUAGGUUGUGUCGGCUAAAGAUCGCUCGAUCUCUAUUUCGAGUUUUUAGCUGUCUACUGCUAGGUUAGAAACUUCGAAAAAUCAUAACUUCCUCAUACAAAGUCAGAUUUGGGCAUUCUUUUUAUGCAUGAUCACGGUUUAACGUAAUCUAUGACUUUCGUUUAGAUACCUAAGGCUAAAAAUUAUUGUAUCGAAAUUUUGCGUUUUUCGCUUAAUCGGUGUUGCCUGGUUUUGCCGAGAAUCUUCGGUUGGUCAUAACUUCUCCGUUAUAACUCGGAUUUUAGUGUUCUUUAUAUGUACGAAAACCUUGAUACGAUUGCUACCACUUUAUUUAACCCAAAUACAAUUUUAGGAAAGUUAAAAUUUGGCUUAAGUUUGACUGGUGUUUUGUUAUAUUGACUCAAAAUGACGGGUUGUCACAUCAUCCCCCUGUUAGAGGGAAUUUCGUCCCGAAAUUCGAGUUUAAGCAGUAUUAAUAAUCAUGCUACGGACAGAAGUUUCAUUUGCUACUCGUGUUCUCAGGUGAACUCUGGUCCUCGCUUGGCAUUCCAACGAACCUUUUACUAUCGGGAUACGACUUUGCUUCUGUCAUUUGACUUUUCUGGGGUGAUAACUCUUCUUGGUUGAAUGUAUGUUGAAUGUUUUUGUGGUCUGUGAACAUAGUAUACCUUGUACUCUACAAAUAGUGUCUCUAGAUCUUCAGAGCAAUCCCCGCUGCUCCUGAAUUAGGGUCAUGUGUUGAACAGUCAAAUUCUUGUGUCUUAAGCUGUGUUGAGGUAGAGGUAGUGAUCUUUUCCUCUUGCAUAAGAACACAACCAAGCCCUUGGUUAGAUGUAUCGCAUUACACCAUGCAAUACUCUAUCCCCUUUUUGGGAGGGAUAAUAUUGGUGCGAUGCAUCAGACUUACUUUAGCAUUCGGAACACUCUUUCUUGUUUACAGACAAUUAUGGUGCUCUUCCAAGUGAGAAACUGGUCCUAAAGAAUCCCCUUCUGAGGAGUUUGUUAAGCUCUCUAGGAAGUUCUCGCACCUCGGUUGGAGCUAGACAAUAAGGUGAUUUGGCUACUAGAACUAAGUCGAUUCUGAAUUUGACUUGACGCCGUGUUGGUAGUCUCGGUUGUCCUUCCGGAAAGGUGUCGGGAAGAGCCGCGUACCUCUUGGAUGUUCUGAAUGUCCUUCACUUCUCGGCACGUCUCGGCGAUGUGUGCAAGGAAUACAUGAUAUUCCUUUCGUAAGCAUUUUUGAGCUUGCAUACAGGAAAUGAUGAGAGGGUUCGUACUUGGUUCGUGGCUAUAAAUAACCAGAGCUUCGUUGUUUAGGGAGGUUAGGAUGAACUGCUUUAUCAAAGCACCUGAUGUUGGCUCGAUGUAGAUUGAAUCAACUACUACUGAUUAUGAUGUCAAAAUCUGGGGGUGGAUUAGCUGUCGUGAAGGUCUAAAAGAUAGUAUGACUACUCAUGAAUUAGAGAAAAGGAUAGGUAUUUUAUUCUCACGGAAGCACGAUCAUUCGUAGUCUUGGGCAGUCUUCGUCCUGAAGUUCAUAGUAGAACUCAUACCUGGUUCAUCUAUCACAGUCUCGGCUAUACGAGUCGUAUAUAAUUAAGGUUGAGAAGGUAGUCGAAUAAAUGAUUCUCCUUUUAAGCUCUCAUCUCAUCGAGGGAAAAGAAGUUAAGUGGAAUUGUCAAUUCCAAAUUGGUAGAACCUUGAUUAUAUAUUAUCCCUAUGUAUACGUUCAUCAGCGAAGAUCAACCGUAUGGACCUUUGGAUUUGAACUUGACGUACAGUACAAGUGGUACUUCGGGGAUUUCUUUGGAAAAGAAAAGAACUAUGUGGUAUUCUAUAUAUGGGUACUUCGGUGUUCUGGAAUGACGGCUUCGCUGAAAAGGCAAUUUCGAAGAAAGAGAUGUACGUAUGAAGCUGUUUUUGUGAGGAUCAAAUUGAAUCAAGUCGUAAGCAGGAAGCUUAGUGAGCUCCCCCAAUCUACCACAUACCACACAAUAAGAUAUAAAGCACAUACUGGGCCUUGCCCACUGCAUCGGACCGAAGUCCGGACUAACUGGGGCCUUGCCCCCUACCUCGGACCGAAGUCCGAAGCUGACUGGGACCUUGUCCCCUACAUCGGACCGAAGUCCGAAGCUGACUGGGACCUUGUCCCCUACAUCGGACCGAUGUCCGAAGCUGACUGGGACCUUGUCCCCUACAUCGGACCGAUGUCCGAAGCUGACUGAACAUAGCAUAAACAUAUCAACUAGCAUAAACACAUAAAUCCUGUCUGAGCCACGAAGGCAUUAAACAUACUAACUACUACAUCAAACCGAAGUCCAAGGCUGACUGGGACCUCUGUCCCUUACAUCGGACCGAAGUCCGAAGCUGACUGAACAUAUCAUAAACAUAUCUACUGGCAUAAACACAUAAAUCCUGUCUGAGCCACGAAGGCAUCAAACAUGCUAACUACUGCAUCGGAUCAAAAUCCGGAUACUACUGCUAGCUAAACGGGCCGGCAUUGUGGCCUUAGACCCGUUCCUACUGGAAGGAAACUCACCUGAACUGCUGAGCUCUGCUGAUAAACCUCUGGCUGCUUCUCGUCAAUCCACUGAGUUGCUGCUCGUCUAGUUCUCCGAGCUAUCAAUAUCAAUAUGACACUUAGUCUGACAGCCAACUAAGUCAACUCUGGUCAAAGUCCAAAAUCCUGAUCAAAGUCAUCCUUCCAGGUCAACCCUACUCGCCGAGUCUUCUUAAGGACUCGCCGAGUUCAAAUGCUCAGGGUCUUUCUUAUUCAGACUCGACUCNGCCGAGUCCAACUAGUUCCAAGUCCUGUCCUGUCCAACUCGCUGAGUCACCACCCGACUCACUGAUUCGAGUCUCAACUCGAAGGGUUUGGGGUUUCGUGACCUGACUCACCGAGUCCACUAAUAGACUCGCCGAGUCCAAGGCAAUCUUCAACCAACUCGUCGAGUUGUUCUUCCAACUCGCUGAGUUGAUGCCUAACUUCUUCCGACUCGACGAGCUGUUCAUCCCACUCGUCGAGUUCCUCCUCAUCUUCAAGAUACUCGCCGAGUCCACUCGAAGGACUCGCCGAGUCUAUUCAGUCCUUAAUCCAUGCAGUGGCUUUUCGAGCCAAGCAGGGCUUCCAACUCAUAGAUCCAUACUUCUAAGGCCUAUCCCCCACGUAAAGUGGCAAACUUUACGUGUAGAUCAAGAGAUCUAGGCUUAAAACACAUUCAAACUAGGGUUUAUGGCAACAUACUUCUUCAACAUACCAGGGGCUGAUACUUUAGGGGAUUCUAGACCAAAACAACCAUGGAUCUGAGGUAGCAACCUCAGACCUGGACCUCUAACUCGAAAUGGUUACUUAUCAUGCCAAAAUGUCCAAAACUCACACAUAAGAAUAGAUCUAGGUGCAAAGGGAGUCCAAGCAACAGCUUAUUACCUCCAAUUGGUCUGAAAUGACUUCUCAAUCCCGGAUCUACAAUCCCUUCUUGCACCUCCAAGGCCUUUCUUCCUUCUCCAAGAUUUAGUGCACUCUUCAAAGCAAGAUCCAGCUCAAAAACGGAUAUGGUGGCUAGGGUUUGGUGUUCUGGGGUAGAGAGGCAGUAAAGGAACCCUAGGAAGGAGAAUGAGACGCUUAAAUAGGCUCCAAGUCCCGGAUUUAGGGUUUUCCACGUUCAGACCCAACUCGCCGAGUCUCCUUGGCCGACUCGCCGAUUCGGUCGCUUACACCUCAACCCGGACCCCGCUCGGACUCGCCGAGUCUCUCCAUGGACUCGCCGAGUCUCCCCUUAAAAUUGAGGUCUUCUUUCUUUUCUUGACUUUCCAAACUUUGGGGUGUUACAAUCCACUUCUUCAGCACCACCCCCGGGCACAGCUCAUCGCGAUUAGGGAUAGGCUUAUCUUACAAGACUAUUAGGAUCUAUGCUAUGUACCCCGACUCUAUGUUUAAGUGACUACACUACUCAUAGAGCCGUUAUGCUGCCGAAUUAAUAUCACUUAUGUAUGCUCUUUCGAGCAAAAUUUUCAUGUAUCAAAUGCGGAUAAUAUUAGUGAACUUUUACGUGUUUUAUUAUGACAUUACAAAUCGCUAUGUGUUGCGAAUCCAUGAUUGUAUGCUAAUUUGUAUAAGUACUUAAAUUCGUACUAUGCACCUAGUCAGUAGGAUCACAACCUCACAGAACCCACAAACACUCAACAUCUUUCCGUUUCAUGACAGAAAGAUGCCUCGCCGACGUACCCGCGGAAACCCUGAACCAACCCCACCCGAAGUUGACUCCACUGCAUUCCAGGCGGCCGUAUCUGUUGCGGUCACCGCAGCUAUGGCACAAAUUCACCAAGGGAACAACAGAGGAGGCAACGGGAAAGGGGCCGGGAGUUCGAACAACGGAAUGAAUCAAGGACCCACCAAAACGUGUACCUACAAGGACUUCACAAACGCCAAACCACGAACCUUUAACGGUACUGGAGGAGUGAUCACCCUGAACCGAUUGAUCGAGAAGGUGGAAUCGGUAUUUGAGAUAUGCGAUUGUCCUGAGCAGAUGAAGGUGAAGUUUGCAGCCUGCACUUUUGUUGACCAAGCGCUCACUUGGUGGAACGGUCAUGUGGAAGCCAUGUCACUCCCUAUAGCCAACUCCAUGCCGUGGACAGAAAUGAAAGAACUGCUGAUGGCUGAAUACUGCCCUCGUGGUGAGAUUCAAAAAAUGGAGCAAGAACUAUGGAACCUCACUGCACGGAAUGCUGAUAUCGAUGCCUACAUACCAAGAUUUAGUGAACUAUCUCUAUUAUGUCCGGGCAUGAUCACCUCGGAAGGAAAGAAGAUUGAGCGAUUCAUCUGGGGACUAACCUCUCCGAUCUAAGGAAAUGUGAUAGCUGCAAACCCCGAAACUUUUGACAGUGCUAAAAGAUUGGCGAAGAAGUUGUAUGACCACAACAACAAGAAGGGUGAGAAGCCAACGGAGGCUGAAGGCAAGAAAGAAGGUGACGGCAAGAAGGGGAAGAACAACAAGAGGAAGGGGCGUCAGGGCCCCGAAACUUCUAAGAAGCAGCAGACAGUGGCAGUUAAUGCUGCCACCGCACAAGUUCCGGCCACACCACAUGCUCCAGCCUCAGCUGCUUCGAAUGCUCCUAGACCUUAUUCCGGUAAUCUUCCCAAUUGCAACAAGUGCGGUUUCCAUCACAAUGGAGAAUGCAAGGAGCUGCAGUGCACCAGCUGCAAUCGGAAGGGACAUACGGCAAGGUAUUACAGGGCUUACCCUCCUCAGAACCAACAAUAGGGAAACAACAACGACAACAACAACAGCAACAACAACAACAACAACAUCAACACCGGCGGCAACAAUGCAGGGCCUAGCCACACCUGCUACGGGUGUGGGAGGACUGGGCAUUUCCGCCGAGAUUGCCCUAACAACAAAAAUCCCAGAAAUGGAGGAACAGGAAGGAUGUUGACCAUGGGUCAGGGAGAGGCGAUUUAGGACCCCGCUGUUGUUACCGGUACGUUUCCCCUAAACCCACUUAUGCAUGCAUCCUAUUUGACACCGGAGCAGGAGCGAAGUUUCGUGAGCAAUAAGUUUAAGUAUUUAUUAAAACAACAACCCCAGAAGCUCAAUGAAACCUUUACGGUGGAAAUGGCCAAUGGGAAAACCGAAUCCACUGGGGAAAUCUACACCGGAUGUACCCUAACCUUGAAUCAACACGUUUUUCGAAUAGACUUAAUGCUUGUUUCCAUAAGGAGUUUUGAUGUGAUUAUUGGCAUGGACUGGUUAAGCCCCCACCAUGUUGAAAUUAUGUGUCACGAGAAGGCCGUUCGCCUUCACCUUCCCAAUCACGAAACCCUAGUUAUUUACGGAGACAAACCUAGCCCGAACCUUCACCUCAUCUCGUGCAUCCAGGAACAGAAACAUCUACGAAAGAACAAUUUGGUGUUCCUGGCUCACAUAGUGGACAAAACCAAGGAAGAGAUUAACAUUCAAGACAUUCCCAUAGCACGUGAAUUCCCAGACGUAUUUCCUGAAGAUCUUCCUGGAGUACCCCAGAGAGACAAGUGGAGUUCCGAAUUGACCUCGUUCCAGGAGCAACUCCUCUCGCUAAGUCACCCUACCGGCUAGCUCCUGCUGNAAAUGCAGGAAUUGUCCAGCCAACUCAGUGAGCUUCUGGACAAGGGAUUUAUCUGACCUAGUUACUCGCCAUGGAGAGCUCCAGUCCUCUUUGUCAAAAAGAAGGACAGAUCUUUUAGAAUGCGUAUCGACUACAGAGAGUUAAAUAAACUCACUAUCAAAAAUCGUUAUCCACUCCCGUGAAUCGACGAUCUAUUUGACCAGCUCCAAGGAGCUAGUUACUUCUCUAAGAUAGAUCUACGGUCUGGAUACCAUCAACUCAAGGUCCGGGAAGAGGAUAUUCCUAAAACCGCUUUCUGAACUCGUUACGGACAUUAUGAAUUUUUCGUAAUGCCCUUCGGUCUAACAAAUGCCCCUGCCGCAUUUAUGGAUCUGAUGAACCGAAUCUGUCGACCAUUCCUCGACAACUUUGUCAUUGUCUUCAUUGAUGACAUUCUCGUCUAUUCCCGAAGCGAGGAAGAGCAUGGCCAACAUCUCCGACAAAUUCUAGAAACUCUGCGAUCGGAAAAGCUAUACGCAAAACUCUCCAAGUGUGAGUUCUGGCUCCGUAGUGUGAACUUCCUAGGUCAUGUUGUUAGCCAAGAUGGAAUUCAUGUGGAUCCCUCUAAGGUCAAAGCUGUUGAAGGAUGGGCAGUCCCGACAACACCCACGGAAAUCCGUCAAUUCUUAGGUCUAGCAGGCUACUAUAGGAGAUUCAUUCAAAACUUCUCUAAGAUCGCCAAGCCACUUACCUCACUUACACAAAAGGGAGUACCAUUCAAAUGGACGAACAAACAAGUGGUUGCAUUCCGAACCCUGAAGCAAGCCCUCUGUAGUGCCCUGGUACUAUCUCUACCGGAGGGUACAGAAGAUUUCGUGGUCUACUGUGACACGUCAAAUCAGGGCUUGGGUUGUGUUCUCAUGCAGCGUGGAAGAGUGAUAGCUUACGCAUCCCACCAACUAAAGACACACGAAGUGAAUUAUACAACCCAUGAUCUGGAAUUGGGAGCCGUGGUCUUUGCUCUGAAGAUUUGGAGGCAUUACCUUUAUGGUACGAAGUGCACCAUCUUCACGGACCACAAAAGUCUCUAGCAUAUCUUGAAUCAAAAAGAGCUGAAUAUGAGGCAACGAAGAUGGGUCAAACUAUUAAACGAUUACGAGUGUGAAAUCAAGUACCACCCGGGCAAGGCCAACGUGGUAGCUGACGCAUUGAGCCGAAAGGAGUACUUUAAUCGUCGUGCGAAAACUCUCUCGAUAACCAUCCAAUCUCACCUAACCACCAAGAUCGGAGUAGCCCAGUCAGAUGCCAUGAAGAUGGAAAACAGAGAAAGCAAAGCUCUACGCAGAAUGGAAAAGAAUCUAGAGGUGAGAGAGAACGGAGUAUACUACUUCAUGAACCGUAUUUGGGUCCCUAAACUCGGAGGAUUUAGGGAGGUAGUCAUGAAGGAAGCCCACAAGACGCGAUACUCCAUCCAUCCCGGUUUGGAAAAGAUGUAUUUAGAUAUUAGACAAUACUAUUGGUGGCCUAACAUGAAGGCAGAGAUUGCCACCUAUGUUGGUAAGUGCCUUACUUGUGCCAAGGUAAAGGUGGAGUACCAGAAGCCCUCGGGGUUAUUACAGCAACCGGUGAUUCCUGAGUGGAAAUGGGAAAGGAUUUCUAUGGAUUUUGUGACCAAGCUGCCCAAGACAUCGGACAGAUUAGACACCAUAUGGGUAAUACUGGACCGACUGACGAAAUCCACUCAUUUUCUGCUAAUAAAGGAAUCCUACAAGAUGGAGAAACUGACGCGAUUAUACAUUCGAGAAAUCGUGAGACUCCACGGAGUACCAAUGUCUAUUAUCUCGAAUAGAGACAGUAGGUUCACUUCACGUUUUUUGAAAUCACUCCAGAGAGCACUUGGAACCCAUCUCGACAUGAACACCGCUUACCACCCACAAAGGGAUGGUCAAAGCGAACAAACCAUUCAAACGCUCGAAGACAUGCUUCGCGCAUGUGUGAUAGACUUUGGGAAGUCUUGGUAUACCCACUUACCUUUAGUCGAAUUCUCGUAUAACAAUAGUUACCACUCGAGCAUCAAGGUCGCCCCUUUCGAAGCACUAUACGGGCGUAAGUGUAGAUCACCGUUAUGUUGGGCUGAGGUGGGCGACACCCAGCUAGCAAAGGCACUCACAUCGGACAAGGCGCUAACGAGACCGGAGAUCAUUCGUGAAACCACGGAAAAGAUAGUUCAAAUCAGAGCUCAAUUACGGGCAUCGCGUGACCGACAAAAGAGCUACGCCGAUAAACAGCGAAAGCCCUUGGAAUUUCAGGUCGGAGAUCGAGUACUGUUAAAAGUCUCACCUUGGAAAAGAGUCAUUCGUUUAGGAAAACGGGGAAAACUGAACCCACGAUACAUUGGACCUUUCGAGAUCGUCGCCCGAAUAGGUCUAGUGGCGUAUAAACUGCAACUACCCGCAGAGCUAAACAGUGUGCACCCCGUAUUCCAUGUCUCUAAUCUAAAGAAGUGCCUAUCAGAUGAAACACUUUUCAUUCCCCUUGACGAGAUUGAAAUCAACGAGAAUCUCAUGUUCGUUGAAGAACCGGUUGAAAUCAUGGACAGGGAGGUGAAGCGUACUAAGCAAAGUCGCAUCCCGAUCGUGAAAGUACGGUGAAAUGCGAAGCGUGGGCCAGAAUUCAUGUGGGAACGCGAAGAUUAAAUGAAGCAAAAGUACCCUCACCUAUUCUAGGAUUCUCAAAUAUAGCUUUCAAACAGAAUUUCGGGACGAAAUUCCCUCUAACUGGGGGAUGAUCUCACAACUAGAAAUUUUAUGCCUUGUAGCUACAACACUUAAGUAAAAUUAUGAAUCAAAAACUUAAGAAUAUGUAUGAUGCUUACUUUAUGACAACGAAAAUUCAAUCAAAUACACCAUGCAAGCAUUUCAAGUAGUCAAUAGGCAAUUGGAAACCCUAGAAGUUCUUGUUUAAGUCCACUUUUGGACUAGGACUUCCUUAUUGGGCCCAAUGGACCAAUAAGCUUCCAAUUUGACCAUCUUGGGUUUAGAACUCUUAAAUGGGCUCUAAUUGGACCCAUUUUCAUUUAAUUCAAUAUUUUGGGCCAUAUUGGGCCUAGAAUGAAAUAAAGUAAUAUUAAGAACCAUUUUGGACCAUAAUUUACCUAAUCUAGCCUAAUAAAGCAUAAAAAUCACAUUUAUAUUUUUUUGGGCCAACAAUCAUUCAACCUAACUAUAAUAUGGGCUUAAGGGCAAAAAGCCCAAAAAUAUCCUCUUUCCCCUCUCCAUUCUCGGCCCAAGCCCACAAAGAGGAAGGGUGGACUUUGUUGGGUGCCACCUCACUUUUGCACCAAGGAUCUCCAUGCAACACAAAUACUUCCAUGCAACUAUCUUGUCAAACCUCUCUCUUCUCCUCUCUCUUUCUUCUCUCGGCCGAAUCCAAGAACACACACACACCCACAUUUCAUUCUUCAUUCUCUCAAGAACACACCAAAAAUGUUGGAUUAAUGUCUAAGUCCAUAACUAUAUUUGGUAUGUACUUGACGCGACCCGGCAUGGUCCAUUUGGGUUGCACUUCACCGACACAAUUUAUAUGGAUAAUCUUUUGAGAAUAGUAUGUUUAUGAUUAAUAUUAAUAUAUUAUAAGUUCUAAUAUAUUAAUAUGGAAUCAUAUUAUUUAAUUAGUAUUGAUCAAGAAUUAAUUUAUAAUUAAUUAAGUGAUCAAAAGGAACUAAUUAAAUAUGGACUCUUAUAUAUAUGGAAUGGGCCAAGUUCAUUUAGGUUGGGCUAAGCUUUCAUGGAUAGUCCAUGGAGUGUUUAACCCAUGGAUCCUAGGAAAUGAAAGGUCAUGGGUAUUAGGGUUUAACCCUAAUCCUCCAUACUAUAUAAAGAUGUCUUUGGUUGGUGAAAUUGGCACUAGUGUGGAUACACUAAAGAAGGGCUAGCCAAUUUCACUAGAGAGAACCAAGUAAUCAUAUUCUCUAAAGUAUUCCAAGGUGUCUUGGUGAUUUGUGAUUCCACUUGAGGCUUCCACACUAUUGGGGCUAAGCUCUUAAAGCUUGAAGACAUCAAGCUACAUCAAGAGGUAUGUAUUCUAUCUUGUUACAUUCAUAGUUUUUGUAUGCUAGAUUAGGAUAAUACCUUGGAUGUUCUUAUUUGCAUGUAUAAUAGAGAAAACAUAGAUCCAAGGUAUUUAGGGUUGCAUGUACACUUAGGAAGUGUUAGAAUGCUCAAAACCCAACAGUGGUAUCAGAGCCACGGGUUGUUUUCUGUUAUAUUGAUGCAAAUAUUUUAUUUUCAAAGUUGAAAAAAAAAAAAAAAAAAAACAUGAAGUUCGUCAAAUUUUAAGAUAAUUACUUGUUCUUGUGAAAAACUAAUUAUUUGUAAAAUUUGAAUAAUUUGCUUUAUGAGUUGAAUUAGGUCAAAUUUAAUAAAAGAUAAAAUAAUAUGAUUAUUUUAUUAGUUUUAAAAGUUUGAUCUAAAGAGUUUUAUUUUUUGAAACCUCCAUAAGUUAUGGAUAUGAAAAGGUUUUAAAAAAAAAAUUGAUUCAAAGUUUUUUUGGAGUUACAAAAUUUGGUGUUAAUGUUUUAAAGGAUUCCAUAACUUAAGAAUAAGUUAUGGAUCACCAAAAGUUUUUUGUGUUACCUUGUUUUAUGAGUGAAUUUAGAUUAAUGAAUAAAAUUAUGUGAUAGUUGGUUUUAAUCCAAAUUAAUCUAAGAAUUGAUUCUAAAAUGUGUUUUUGUAACUUGUCCUCAAGUUAUAUGAAAAGUCACAUUUAAGAAUCAUAAAACUCAUAAAAAUUGGCAAAGGUUACAAAAAUGAAGAGUCUAGUUCUAAUUAAAUGGUUUUAUGACUCCAUAACUUGUCCUCAAGUUAUGGAGGACCAAGAGUCUCUUCAUUUAAUAAAAUAAAAUAAAAUAAAAAAAGGUGUAACCUUAAUUAAUUCCAUAAGUUAUAAAAUAAAGAAAAGUUAAUUCUUUUAUUAGUUUAAAGUCUUCCAUAACUUGUCCUCAAGUUAUGGAACUUGAAGAGUUUUUGGAUUAAAACUACUUUAAACACAUAAGUUAUGGAAUUAAUUAGUUUUGAAUAGUUUCAAAACUUGCCCUCAAGUUUUGGAAUUUGUAAAGUUUUCACUUAUGAAUACUUUAAUUCCAAGUUAGCCCUUAGAAUUUUAAAAGUUAAAAUUCAACCCUUAUACUUUAUAAUAUUAUAAGUUAAUAAUAUAUAUAUGUAUAAGAGUAAAGUCAGUCUUACCGCUAGUACGCCUCAUUCACGAAGCCGGUCUAUAAGGUGGGUAUAAGGUUGUUGCCUAUAAAAUGGCAACUUAAUGGGUGUCCACUCUCACCCACCGCUUGCUUGACUGGUGGAGGGUCGUUAGCCGAACGGGUUUGACAGGACUAGAAUUCUCCCUUCAUUAAAAGUAUUAAUGAUAAUACUAAGUAACUAAACUCUUAAUAAUACCCAAUCUUAGUUACUUAGGAAAAAUGUGAAUAAGGUGCUAAUCCAUGAAAUUACACUUUACACUUUGUCUAAGUCGUUAGUGGAGCGUGUGUGGUUAACCGGCACACUAACUUGGACUUAACAAGGUAGGUAAAGGGUGACUUAAUAUUUAUCAUAGUAUCGAUGGAGCGUGUGUGGUUAACCGGCACAUCGAUUGAGGGGUAAUUUAUUAAGGGUACCAAGUGAUUUGCAUGGUUACUUCACACCUUGUUUUGUGAUCCUCGGCAUCCCAGUCACAAAACCUGAAGGGCACACUCGAGAUUGAAACAUGCCUUUGAAAAGUUCAAUGAAUCUCAAAGAUCUAGGAGUUUCAAAACCAAUUAAAACCUAAUAAUACAUUUCGUUUAUCUUGGUGGAAAUUGGUGAAUCGUCAUUCACCUACCUUCAAAUAUUUUAUAGCUUGGAUUACGGCAUACCUCUUCUAAGUUAUAAAAUAGUUUGUUGGGUCCUAGCCUUAAUAUUUCAUAUUGGGUGUCAUAUUAAGGACUUUAAAUCAACUAUCUUGAAUAUCUCCCAAAAGAUGUCUGGUUUAGACACCUAUGAUCUUCCCAAAUCUCUUGAAACAAGGUUUCCUAAUGAAGAUGAUGUCCCAUGGAUAUCAUACUUCUUCACCUCUUCAAAUUAUUCUCCCUAACCCACAAGUUCUUGAAAAGUUUAAGGUCACUCAGGCCCUAUUGGCAAGGCAAGGUCUAGGUGUGGUCACAUCUUGGAGAUGUAGUCACAUAUUGACAAGCCGGGAGAGUUGGGUGUCAAAGUCUUGAGAAAGUUGGUGGUUCAACCACUUUCUAAGUCACAUAGUGAGUUCCUUUGGGACACCUAUGAAACAGACUAUGACAAGACCCUUAAUGAUCUUAUCUAUUUGCUAAGAUCAACUUCCUAAAACUUUAUGGACAUUGACAAUGAUGACAUUGGAUAUCCAGUAAAGCAUUCUCUUCCCAAUGGAAAGGGAUCGGCUAUAGUCAACUCGGUUGACCAAAUGGUAAAGAGAAAAGCUAAGUCUGUGAUAGUCCUGUGUACCAUUAUCAAAGGGUCCAUAUGUUUGUAUUGCCAAAGAAAGGGCAUUGGUUGCGAAGCUGCCAAAUUUACCUAAGGAUGUUAAAGUCAAUAAGUUUGACUCUACUUCAGGUAAAAUCCACUAUCUAACUCUGUUAAGUUUCUAUUCUGAGAUUCUUGAUACAUGAUGUGACCGGGUCGCAUGGUGAUGGUUUAAGAAUCAAAGGAAAGUGAAGAAACUUAAAGGAAGAAUAUGCUGAAUCUGAUCGCAUAGAUGGAUUUCUAUCGCAUAGUUUGAAAAAUCGGAUUCUUGAGCUACUUCUUAGGAGUUAUGAGAUAUUGCUUAGGAAUAGAUAACAACAAGUUUUCAUAUGGAUUGUAAGGAUAGUUUUUCCGCAAAGUUUUAAAAUAAAAGGAAAUUUUUGAUUUUAUUUAUUUUAAAAUAUCCUUACAAUGGCAUCUGUGGAAAUUUUUGUUGCUUAUAAGAUUCCAUUAGUAGCAAGAGUGGAAGUAUGAAAUUGAUUCUUUCAUUUGUGGUAAUGUCUAAAUUUACCAAAUAAGGAAAGAUUCUCAUCACCCAAGUUUCAAUUGGACCGGAACUUGGAAUCAUGCAAGUUGUAUAGCAUGAUGAAUGAGAACUUUCAAGUUUUGGAAAAUUAAGACUAAUUACUUGUUCACAUGGAUGUGUGAGUCAAGUAAAGGACUUAGGGAUCGAGUACACAUUCUUGUGCACUGAUUAAGUCCACCACUAAAGAUCGAUAAGAAGAAUCAAAUAAGGCAGAAGGAUAAAAGUUUCUCAAAUCUGAAAAGAUGGGAGAGUACUUUAGUAUCAGUUUUGUGAUCAUCUUAAUGAUUAAGAAACCAUAUCAAAAUUAGUUCUCUAAGGAAAUCUUAGUGCAUUCUUAUGACUAAGAAGAGGAACUUGAAUUGUUGAAAUGGUUAAAUCAAGAAGAUGAGUCAUACUUCGUUCCAAUACAAGUCUUAGAGUCAUACUCCAAGAUUGUCAUUUGAGUGACAUGUCUUAAAGAAGGUUUAAAACACUUGUCAAAUGUAAGAGUAAAAGUUUUCUACUCUUGUACAUUUGAAAUUGGUAAGUUGUGAUGUUUUGGAUAAAACAAAGACCAACUUAGGCCAAUUGGGUAAAGUGUUUUUCUUGAUUAGAAUCCGCACUAUCUCUUGGAUGUUUGACAAGGGAGUCUUAUAUGUCAAGAGGACAGUGGGAGUCUUAAAGGUCUUGAAAGUCUCAAGAAAUAAUCAAGAAUAAAACCUAAAGUUCUUCACUAGCACACGACUUGAGGUUCAUAACCUAUCGUGUUGACAUAUUCUGUGCCCAUUCCAGUUAAAGUUGGUUUUGCAUAUGAGUUCUUAGAGUUCUCAAUUUGUUGCACAACAACUUGGAAGCAAUGGCAGGCCCUUGAGCUGCCAGGUGGCAAGAAGUUAAGAUUGAGUUCAAUCCAUAUGGUUUUGGAUUUGUCAUUAUCUUUGUCUUGUGAUUAUGGUUUGACAAAUUCAUAUGGGUAGGAACUCAUACACCAUAUAAAUCUAAGUGUCAUAAGGUUUCUCUCCGAUUCAUGAAAAUGAUGGUGAGGAAACGCUUUCACUAAGUAGAUUUUACGAAGAUAUCAAUUGUGUUAUUUGCAUUUUCAAAAGUCGUUAGUGGAGCGCGUGUGGUUAACCGGCACACUAACAUGGACUUGUGAGAAAUGGCAAAUGCCUAAGCAAUUGAGACCAUGAUUACGGUAUCCCUUUUCAUGGUUCUUGAAAUUGCUUAGACACACAGGUGAGCUAUCUACGGAAAGGGUGUAUGAAUCUAAAUUUCAGACUGUCCAGCUGAUUUCUGAGUACAUGUCAAAGCUAGUGGGAGCAUAAGUGUUAUGCUAAUAAUCAUCAUGUUAGUGGGAGCAUGAUAAUUAUGAUAAGUAUUGCAAGUUAGCAAUGUUAAUUAUAGAAAACAAAAGUUUCAAUUGGGAAAAAGUUGUUUUGCUAUAAUUAAGGGAGAGGAAAUUAUGCUUCAUCUCAAAUCUAUAAGCUUAGAUCGUGAGGUUUUAAUCAUUUAGUCAAGGAUAUAUAUGAAUUUCAUGUUGGAAUGGCUCAACAUAAGGAAAUUCUGUAUAUGGGUCCAUUAUUUGCGUUCUAAAAUUCGAUUAUGAUUACGGCAUCCCUUUUCAUAAUCUGAAUUAUGAGAACUUGGCAAAUUGAAAUGGAAAUAUUAUAGCAAAAGACUGGUUUAGUCUUUAUGUAAGACAUCAUGAAUCGUGUCCCAUAUGCUUCGGAUAUAGGAUCGAUUACAUGUGCUAUAUUCAUCCGUUCUAAAAUUUUCCAAAUGCCUGGGGCAUUAAGAAGGGAAAAGGUUUAGAACUGGAUAUGACUAAAAGGAUUAAACAAUUGUCGAGGACAAUCUAAGGUUUACCAAAGAUUGGUUACUCAAGGACAAUUGGAAGUAUAGUGAUAAUUCUGGAAGGACCAUAUUGACAUAAUCUGUAAGGAGGCAACUCUUGUUCAGAAGUGAUAGUCAAAAUGGAAUCUGGAAAUGUUUCAAAGUUAGAAUUUUCAAUCUGUGUAAGAUUAAGGAAACUUAAUGCAAGAAGGAUAUUUCCAAGGAGUUGAUCUCCUUUGGAAUACUCUGUAAUGAUUGUUGCCAAGUCUUUGUGACUUUGUGCAUAAUCAUUACAAGAGGAUCAAUGCAUAUAAGUUUAGAAUCUAACAGAUUUCAGUAAAUGGCAUGAAUUUGGAAUUCUUGCAUUUGCAGUAAGGAUUUGGGAGUGUGAAAAGAGAAUCAUUGAAGUUAUGUUCAAUUGAUCUAGUUCACAAAGUAAAGAUCAUAGACAAACAUAGUAUGCAUACUUGGUGUGUGGCAUGACUAGUGUUUAAGAAAACAUAGUGUACAUGCUUGGAGCAUGGGACAACUAUUGUUUUAAAUUCAAGAAUAAAGUUGAUAGCUGAAACAGUAUACAAUGAAUAAUGUGUAAUCAUAUGGUGAUAAAUAAAAGGUGUUUUAUUUAUGUUCAAAGGGUUGAUACCAUAUUGGAUUCAAUUAUUAUUGUGUUUCACUUUGCAUGUUUUGACUUCCCGAAUAAACUAGGUUAUUCUUCCGGAAUGACUAAGUUAUUCAAACCAUCCACAGUCGGUCAUAUGUUGGAAGUAGAUAUGAAUUAAGACUGUCAUGGGUUGGCUUGUAGAGGUCUAAGGUGUUGGACAAAGGGCUACAACACUCAUGAGUGCUCAUAAGUUCUGAGUAUUGGAUUCAACCCGCGCUCAUUGGAAUCACUUCAUGGAUUUUAUCACGAGUGAUCAUGAGACGAUAAUAUCUUAUAUUCUUCAAACCUAGAGAUAUGAGUUGUUACUAUGAGUUGGUUGUACAUUGAUUGCACGAAAACGCAUUUGGUAACUCGGUGCUAUAAAACGUGCCUUUGUGUAUGAUUCAACAAGUAGUAGAACAAGCCAUAUGAGUCGAAGUUUAUCCAUUCCUUUUACCUUCGGGAUAAAAGCGAUAUCUGUGGGCCCCUCGAUGAUUUGAUGAUGACAAAUGGAAGUGCUCGGCCGGGCCAGGACUGAUUUGAUUUGUUCAAUUAGUCAGUCGUCAUAAAUCGGAAAUCGGGAAACAACAAAUGGACAGAGAGAAUGAUUAUAAUCCAUGUCUCAGUCCAUAUGAUAUCUAGAAUGGAGGAAUAUAUGAUCCCUUAUCUAAUGGACAAGUUCGUUGACAAGAUCAGAGUUCGACAGCAGCUUUAAGAGCUACGAUUGCCAGUUAGGUUUGAAGUCAUACGCAAUAAUAGUUUUAGACUUAUCCAAGUGGGAGACUGUUGGAUUAAUGUCUAAGUCCAUAACUAUAUUUGGUAUGUACUUGACCCGACCCGGCAUGGUCCAUUUGGGUUGCACUUCACCGACACAAUUUAUAUGGAUAAUCUUUUGAGAAUAGUAUGUUUAUGAUUAAUAUUAAUAUAUUAUAAGUUCUAAUAUAUUAAUAUGGAAUCAUAUUAUUUAAUUAGUAUUGAUCAAGAAUUAAUUUAUAAUUAAUUAAGUGAUCAAAAGGAACUAAUUAAAUAUGGACUCUUAUAUAUAUGGAAUGGGCCAAGUUCAUUUAGGUUGGGCUAAGCUUUCAUGGAUAGUCCAUGGAGUGUUUAACCCAUGGAUCCUAGGAAAUGAAAGGUCAUGGGUAUUAGGGUUUAACCCUAAUCCUCCAUACUAUAUAAAGAUGUCUUUGGUUGGUGAAAUAGGCACUAGUGUGGAUACACUAAAGAAGGGCUAGCCAAUUUCACUAGAGAGAACCAAGUAAUCAUAUUCUCUAAUGUAUUCCAAGGUGUCUUGGUGAUUUGUGAUUCCACUUGAGGCUUCCACACUAUUGGGGCUAAGCUCUUAAAGCUUGAAGACAUCAAGCUACAUCAAGAGGUAUGUAUUCUAUCUUGUUACAUUCAUAGUUUUUGUAUGCUAGAUUAGGAUAAUACCUUGGAUGUUCUUAUUUGCAUGUAUAAUAGAGAAAACAUAGAUCCAAGGUAUUUAGGGUUGCAUCUACACUUAGGAAGUGUUAGAAUGCUCAAAACCCAACAAAAAAUCCCUUCACUUUCCCUUCAAAAAUUUCGGGCUUCAAGGGCUUUGCAAGGAGGAUUCUUCACAAAAAUCAUCAUCUAGAAUCACCUCAAAUUCGAGUUGUUCAUCAAGGUGUGGCUAGGGCCGAAAAUCACCUCACUUUCUUCCUUUUUCUUCUUCAAGUCGAAACCACAACUCAAGGUGAGCUUCAUACCCCCUAUUUUUCGGUUUUUAUAAGUUUUGUGGGGGGAGAAUACAAGCAAAUGUGUAGAUCUAUGAGUAUAUGUAUGCUUUGUGUGAUUUCUAUGUUUAUAUAUAUGUUCUUAAGUAACUGUGGUGUUGGAUCUAGUCAAAAAGACCUUGAAACCGAGAUCUACAUUAAGUUGUAUGAAAUAUGUAUAAAUUAUAUUAUUUCACACAAAUCAUUUCUAGAAAAAUAACCUAGUUGGUUAAUAUGAACAUCUUUGGGCUUAAAACCCAUUUUUGGACUCAAAAUGCUAAAAAUAUAAAACUAAAGGGCCCAAAAUGUCAAAAUACAAAUUAUGAGGAAUGAGAUGAGUCAAAACAGUUUCAAAAAUGUAUUUCCUGGAAAUUUACCCGUUUGAACGAUUAAAAUGUGAAUUUUUAAACAUAAUGGGCCUAAAAUGAACUUUUCGGCCCAAUAAAGCCCAAAUUGCGAGAUUUUCAAAUUAGAGGGGCUGAAACUGCACUUUUCUGUAAAACAGGGGACUACUCGUGUACCAAGUCCAUUUCAAGGGUUAAAAAUGCUUUUCAAAUAUAGAAGGGACCAAAGAUGUAAAAUUUUUCCAUUUUGGGUCAAAAUUGUAAAAAUUGCGAGAAUAGAGGUUUCAACCGAUAAAAACUCCAUUUUGAGGGACUAAAACUGUCUUUCAAGUAAAUUGGGGCUGAAAAAUACCUUUUCAACAAGUUUUGAUACUAAAGUGUCAAGAAAAAUGGUUUAAGGACUAAAAUGGAAAUUCUUUUAUAUAAAGGGUUAAAAGUGUAAAUUUAUCCAAGAAAGGGCUUCAAAAAGAAAAAUUCUAAUAUUUUAAACAAUAAAUCCUUUAUGACAAAAUACUAGUACCAUGACUACCGACAAAAUAUAAUACACCUUCAACACCAAAAUCGUUACCAAACGAAUUGAUUCGGUCUCGAAUCAAUAACGAAUCAAAUAUCUAAACACGACGAUACUCCAAUACACACGCGGAAAUUACGGGAAGUCAAUACAUACGUGGGAAUUCACCAGACGUCGAUACACCAUCUUGGGCCCGAAAGUUUCAAAUCAUGCUUGUUGGGCCUAACUAGCCCAAUGACAUGAUCUUUAGGCCCGAAGGAAACGCGCUUACAUGUUAUUGGGUCUUAAACGACCUAAUACAAUGUAAAAGGACUUUCAAUAGCUUUUGGGCUGUUUGGCCCCAAGGGUCCUUUGGCACAGCUACUAAAGUCGAGAAGUCAAAUGCUAGUCGGACCAAGGGUCCUUCGCAUUCACGGUAGCCUUAAACGACUCAUGGAAUUAAAGAGGGCUUCGCACCCUCUUUUCUUCUUAGGUGGUGGGGCUAUGGGAAGUUAGGGUGGUUGGAUUAGGUGGGUAGUACAGACGACGCCUAAGGGUUCGUUUGUAUAGUCGUAAGCUAGCCAUUUUUCAUUAAGGCUUGAUUACAACAACUCACCACCCUUAAUUAAUCCAAUGUCAUCUGGAAUUAUCGAAUACACACGUCGCAACAGUAUAACCAAAUUUAAAACGCGUAAUUUAAAGUAUUAGGAAAACAUCGGGUUUUCCUAGGGAUUUCAACACUUACACCUACGUGAUGCAUACCUAUAGAAAUAAACAAGCAUACUAACGGAUCUUCACACUUUUUCUUACUUACAAUAAUCUUUUCAGAAAAUAUCGGAUUUUCUGGUGGUUUUUCAAAAUAAUACAGAACAUUAUGUUUCAAACAUUACUUUUGAACUCACCAACAUUUCAUAUGUUGACGUUUUUCAAAAUACUUGUAUUCUCAGGUAACAGGUAAAUCGAAGGAAAAAUGUACCCAGUGAAGUCUUGUUAUUUGUUUAACUAGUAUCGAACAAUCUACUUUUUGGGAAUGUAAUGUUAUGAAACAAUGUACUAAAUGUAAACGCUACCAGUUGUAUUAAUUCAAUUCUUGGUGAUGAAUGAUGUUAUGUUUCAUGUAUAUUCAUUGUGAUGGUAUUCAAUUGAGUCACAAGAGCCCUCGGACGUUUCCGCCGUCUGGUUCGGGGGUGUGACAAGAGUAGUGAGAGAAAGUGUUUUAAAAGAGAGGAAAAAGCUUCAAAAUGGUGUGACUCAAUCGCUUAUAUAGGGGUUGAGUUUGUGGCCCGGUGGAAUUCUACCCGAUACCGACGUUAAACGGUGCUUUUGGUCGUACCCGAUUAAUUUUCCGUAACUCAACGUGGUCGUAAAUAAAAAUUUUCUAAAUAAUAAUUUGGGAUGUUUACAUGAGUUUCCAAAGGGUUUGGACACUCACGAGAUCAUAAUAAAAAUAUCAAUUUAGAUAACUUAACCCAAAAUCGAAAUCGGAAAAAUUUGCUAAAGACAAGUUUUACGGACGGAACGGGUUACGGCGAUGGAACAAACUUCGGGUUGUCACAUUACAUGAUGUAACCCUAAUUGUAACACACUAUAUAAGCUUCAUGUUACACACCAAAAUCGGCACCUACGAGUACAAAGGAGGGCAAGUCGAUUUCUAAGUGUUCUACAUUUCUCUCAAGUUUAUUCCAAGUGCAUUUGGUGCUGUGUGAGACAUUUGAGGCAUCAUACUUGGGGUGCUAGGCUCACAAGGUUUUCAAGGAAUCCAAAUUACUACAAGGUAUGUAUUUCUAGCUAUCUUUUAUGUUUAAAGUUCCCCAUGUAUGCUAGAUAGGAAUAAGAACCUUGGAAAUCAAAUUUUGCAUGUAUCUUAGACAAACAGAGAUCCAAGGUUUCUAGGGUUGCAUGAACACCUUAGGAGUGUUAGAAUGCUCAAAACCCAUCAAUAAGAACAUGGGGACCUUUCUCAACAAGAUUUAGCAUCUUCGUUGGUUUCAAAAACCACCAUGGCCUUGGUUUUCCAUAUGGUGAAGUCGUGUUCAUCGAAGGGAGGAAUUUUGUUGAGAUCAAAGGAUUUAGAAUUGCUUGAAGUCGACAUGGUUACUUGAGUGUAUCUAAAACCUGCUCUGAUACCAAUUGAAGGUUUGUAUCGAUCGGAUACACUUCAAGUAUGAAUAACAAACAUAAAACUAAUCUAACCAAAAUAAUAAAAAGACAGUAAAUAACAAAGAAGUUUUCCAAAUUGUUCUUUCACCAAGAAAGAUUUUUUUCGUUACCAAGAAGACAGGUUUGUCACAAAGACGAUUGACACAAAGCCACAAUCACAACAUUAGGGUAUGCCCUAAUGUUGUAUAUAUGCUAAUCUAUAAAUGAGAAUCCCUUUAUUGUAGGGAUUGCGUCUGAUCUAUAUUGAUAACCGCUCUUAUCACAAAGAUAUCAGUUCUAUGAUUUAUUCUAUAGUUAUCUAUAUCAUUACCUCAUAUACAAAAAAUUACAAUCCGAUAACUGAAUUGUAAGCAGAUGAUGGUAGCUAUGAUAUGUUGACGAUGUCAAUGUGUAGAUGUUCAGGCUGACAGAUCAACGUGUCCCGUGUUUGACUCAUCAGAUCACAAGGUGUGACCUUACAAAAACUAGUUAUUUUACAAGUCUUUCGUUUGUCGUUCUUAAAAAUAUUUUAUAAACCAAAUCGUUUUUAGUUAUCAAAACCCAUCAAUAUAUAUAUNCUAUCUAUCUAUAUCAUAUCAUACAUUAUACAUACUUAUAAAUCUAGAAUUUUUUCUUGAAUCUCAUGCAUUUGAAACCCCCUUUUUUAACUUCCUCAAACCACAUUCAUUUGAAACCCCCUUUUUUAUUUAAUGCAACUCAAAAGUUUUCUUCAUUAUGAUUUAACACUCAAAAGUUUUAUAACUUAUAUUAUGUUUAAUUAGCAUUUAGUGAAAAGUUUACUACAAAAGGCCAAUCUUUUGUGUAUUUUGUGUUAUAUCAAAUCUUACAUGUAAGAAGGAUUUGAAGAUAUUGUGAUUCAAAAAUUUUCAUAUAGUUGAAGCAUUCACGAUCCAAAUAUGAUGAUUUGAAGAAAUGGGUUAUGUUGCAUUGAUGGUAAUUGUAAUAUGAUUUUUUCUUUCAACCAAAACAAAUGAAGCUUUUCUAUUCUUUCUUUAUAUUCAGUUUCUCAUUUGAUCUUUAUAUGUGAUUUGUGUGUAUUACUCAAUCUUGAAUGUGACUCUCCAAACAUCAAUGUUUUGCCUGGAAUAUCUGUAUGAUUCUUCUUAUUCACGGAAAAUAUUUUGAUUGCAGGUUAGUGAAGAAUUGUCAUCAAGUUUCAAUGGUUUAAUGGUGUUAAAUGAAGAAAAAAAGAUUCAUAAAAUGGAUAUAGGUUUUCUUGUUUGAGCAAAGUUUACGAAUGUUAGUUUUUUCUUUUGAUUUAAAUGUAUGUUUAUGUAAUUUAUUUAUAUAAUCAACCACCCAAUGCACUGACUUAUUUGAUUGUAGUUUUUCUAUUUUGAUUAUGAUUAUUUUCUAUUGUUUUUUUGUUAGGUUAUCUUACAAAACAUAUUUAAAAGACAAUAUUUAAAAGAUAACAUUAUUUUGAACAUUUGAUAUGUAAUUAUGAUAGACUUAUAAUGAUAUGUUCUUCAUAUGUAAGUAAUUUAUCCAUAUUAGUACGACAAGAAUUAUAUAUGACAUUUACGAAGUUAUAUAUAUUAUAUGUGAUUUGGUUAACAUCUAUAUGCACCUAUGUAUGUUAUAAAUUUCUAAUUAAAUAUCUUUAUGUUUAAUAAUUGAAGGGAUUAAAAUGAUGCAUCAAAACCAAUUAUUUAGACGAAUAUAAUAAUAAUAAUAAUAAUAAUAAUAAUAAUAAUAAUAAUAAUAAUAAUAAUAAUAAUAAUAAUAAUACAUUUCCAAGUACCGCAUUCAUUUGAAACUCAAACUACAACUCAAGAGUUUUCUAAUUUAUGUAUAUUUAUUAGUUACAACUCAAGGGUUUUUAACUUAUGAUUAUUAAUUAGUAAUCACUAAUAGCUUUUAUUUUCCUUUCUUUUAUAAGGUUGUAAAGUUUUGCUCAUUAAAGACAUUAAUGUAUUUAAAGAGAUUUGUGAUUUAAAUAUGAAGAGUUAAUAUAAAUGUUAUAAUAGAUGUUUUAGUAUUUUUAUAUUAUUAAAUUUUAUAGUGCUUAUUUUUCAUAUUUUUUUAUUGUUCGUUGUAUAUAUAUAUUUUUUUUAAUACAAAUGUUAUAAUAGAUGUUUUCUAUCUUUAUGUUACUAAAAGUUGCAUUUCAUAUUUUUGUUCAUAUGUUUUGUUACCCGUUAUAUUAGCAUUCAUUCGAUAUAUAAUUUACACAAUUUUAAAUGGUUUAUAAAAUUAUCAAAUAAGUGUAUAUAUCACAAUGACUUAAAAAUUAAACUAUAAUGUUUAAUAAAACUAGUAUGUUAACCAUAUGUUUGCUUUACACCUAACAUUUUGUUUAAAUGUAGAAAUAUUAAAUAAUAAUUUGGUAAAAGUUAUUAUUUUAACUAUAUAAUUCUAUUUCCGCGCAACGCGCGGGGAUUCGCCUAGUUAUAUUUAUAAAUGAGGCAUUUUUUCUAUCACCGCAAUCAUUUGAAACUUUCAUGUCUUUUCAUAUUUCUUUAUAAUAACGAUUCCAUAAUAUCUAUUUAAUCCUACAUAACUUUUCACUGUAAUCGAAUUAAUAACUACCACUCAAUAGUUUUUAAUUUAUGAUACUUAAUGGUUCUUAUGACACCAAUUGAUUAACUUUGAGAAUUAUAUAGUUCACAAUCAUAGAUUUUUAUUAGAAAUGUUUAAAGAUUUGUGUGAGUGGUUGAGAGGUAGAUUAGAUAUUCCACACAAAAAGAUUAUCGAUGGAGAGAAUAAAUAAUAAUAAUGAGGAAGAUGAUGAUGACAAGGAAAUAUGAAAGUUUAUGGUAAGAAAUAUUGCUUCAUUUUCUUUUUUCUUAUUAUCUAAAUUUAUACUGUAUAAUUAUGAUUUUGGUUGGAAUGAAAUAAAUUAUAUAUGAAGAUGCUCUAAUCAUUGCCUCUNNNNNNNNNNNNNNNNNNNNNNNNNNNNNNNNNNNNNNNNNNNNNNNNNNNNNNNNNNNNNNNNNNNNNNNNNNNNNNNNNNNNNNNNNNNNNNNNNNNNNNNNNNNNNNNNNNNNNNNNNNNNNNNNNNNNNNNNNNNNNNNNNNNNNNNNNNNNNNNNNNNNAUAUGAAGAUGCUCUAAUUAUUGCCUCUAGAUUCACAUCAGAAAAGCAAGACUACUGAACAACAAUACAAAACAAGAAUGGAUACAACUAGCAUAGUUCAUCCUUCUUGGUUUUAAAAUUUUGUUGGUUCAAUUUAUUUUAAAGUUUUGCAUUUUUUUCAUGAAAGUUAUCAUCAUGUUCGACGGGGUCCAAAAGGAAGUCAUGCUACUAACCGUCUAAAUUAUAAACCCAACG